rnacentral:rRNA from 1 species
ACGGGAGGCAGCAGUGAGGAAUAUUGGUUAAUGGGCGAGAGCCUGAACCAGCCAUGUCGCGUGGAGGAAUAAGGAUCUAUGGUUCGUAAACUCCUUUUGCGGGGGGAUAAAGUGCGGGACGCGUCCCGCUUUGCAGGUACCCCGCGAAUAAGCAUCGGCUAACUCCGUGCCAGCAGCCGCGGUAAUACGGAGGAUGCGAGCGUUAUCCGGAUUUAUUGGGUUUAAAGGGUGCGUAGGCGGGACGUCAAGUCAGUGGUGAAAUGGUGCGGCUCAACCGUAGCAUUGCCGUUGAAACUGGGGUUCUUGAGUGCGAAUGAGGUGGGCGGAAUGUGUCAUGUAGCGGUGAAAUGCAUAGAUAUGACACAGAACACCGAUUGCGAAGGCAGCUCACUGGGACGCAACUGACGCUGAGGCACGAAAGUGCGGGGAUCGAACAGGAUUAGAUACCCUGGUA